AGAGUCCUCUGGAAGAAGCCCGUGGGUCGGAGAACGAGGACGAGCUGCAGGUUGGCUGGGAAUGAUGCCUGCAAGACAGAGGAAGGGGCUGGAGCGUUCGCCACCAGGCCGUGCCACUGGCCGCCGCUGCAGCCGAAGCUUUCACAGGAGUCCAAGGAUCCCUGGGGCUGCAAACCCAGGAGGGCGAGUAUUGAGGAACAGGCUGCUGGUUAUCCCCAAAGCAUCGCCACAGACGACAUGCUCGUUACAAACAGAAGAGCCAUCCUCCAGUGGAGAAGCCCAGGGAUUGGACCUGAUUGGACACAUGGGUGCCCAGCACCCACUGUGGAGGCUCUGCUGUGGUGCCUAGCAAAGCUAGAGGAAGGAAACCAAACCAAGGGUUUCCCAAAGCUCCAGGCUUCUGGCCUUCACAGGUAUCAGUGUCACAAGACCUAAAGUGAAAACUACGUGGACCAAGGAGACGGCACAACUGGCCUCUCUCUUCACUUGUCACAGCCCCUGGAUUUUAGCAGAAGAUAUAAAAAGCCUUCCUGGGAGGAAAGACUGUUUCUUUCCACAGUGUAUCUUUAGGUUUACAGACAAUUAUUCCUGGCAUAAUCGUACCAGUAUUAACAUCACGUUGCCACUGCGGGUCCUGGUUUUACAACAGCUUUAUUUUCUGUGGAUUCAUAGCUAAGAAUUGGAGGAAAACCUCCCACAACGGUGUAGCCAGUUGUCAAACGGGCUCAGCAGGCAGUGUGUGCGUGUAUGUGCAGGUGAGUUACUGUGUGUGUGUGUGUGUGUGUGUGUGUGUGUGUGUGACAUUCCUAUAUGCCGUAUGUGCCUUUGUGCAUGUGUGCUUAGGUACAUCCGUGUACAUAUGUACAUGCAUGUGUGGGGCUGUGUAUCCAGACACAUACCUAUGUGUGCAAGUGUAGCCACAUAUGAGUGUAUGUGCACAUGUGUAAGUGUCCAUGAACCUAUGUGUGUGCACAUACAACUUUGCAUUAGCCCGUGUGCUUUCUAGUGCACAUGUAUGUGUUCACAUGUCUGUAUGCUUGUGUCUUUCUGUGUAUGUGUGCCUCUGUGUAUAUGCAUGCAGUGCAUGUCCACCACCUGUAUAUGUAUAUGGGUACAUACAUGAUGUAUACUCCACACUCGUCUGUAUGUGCCUGCUUCUGUGUAUGCAUGUGACUAUAUCUGUGCAUGUAUGAGUGAGCAAGAUUCUCUCUGUGUGUGUUUCUGUGUGGGAAAGCGUACAAGUAUGGCUGUGUGUUUCUCUGCGCACAUAUCUCUGUGCACACACACGUGUGUGUAUGUGUUUGUGUAUGCACUGACAUAUGGACACAUGGGAAAAGUGUCACGGCAAGAACACAUGCUAUUCCCUUUAUUAACAAAUUUUCAGUAAGCUUGAAAUAUUUUAAAAUAAAGAACUGGAGGAAAAGGUGC